UAUUAACUGUAAAAAUUAUAUUACUAAGUGGCAACAUACACCGUCGCUAAUCCACUAUCACCACCACCACCACCGCCAUCGCCACAACCACCCUCUUCUCCCAAUUCCCGCCGAUGGCGAUCCAAAAUAGCCCAUCCUCUCUAUCUCUCCGUAGCCGCCGCUUCCACCGCCUUGUACCCGCCGCCUAUUUUGCCGAUCAGAACUGGGAAUGGUGCCCUAUUUUUCGAUUGCUUCGAGUAAUGUAGCUCCGCGUUGCACUUCAUGUAAUUUUUUACUUAUCAAUUUGUUGGAUAUGAAGCCCUUUAUAUACUGUU